AGAGAGAGAGAGAGAGAGAGAGAGAGAGAGAGAGAGAGAGAGAGUUGUGUCAAUACUGUAGGUAAAAAAAAAGUACAGACCGUAUUCCAUUCUUGUACAAAUUAUUCUACAUUAAAGGAGAGUCAAGUGCCUAAUCACCAUGCGGUUGUAUUACAUGUUACUUUAUUAUAUAUAAUAUGAAUAAUUAAGGAGAGGCGCACGAGGCAGUUCAUUGAUCGGUAGGCCCAUUCUCUGGUCAUUUGUUGAGAUCUGAGUUUUAACAACGAAAUAGGACACUGUUCUAUGAAGUAAAUCCAUGAAAUCCACGAGAGAAUCCGUAUUGGUAUUAGCAUCUCAUUAACCCGUUUUUCACGAUUCGGGUUAGGAUGGCUAAAACUCUUCUUGCAUUGAUGUAUGAGAUAAUAAAUGCUCCGGGCGUCCACAUUAAAUCACUAGUCAGACUAUACCCUUGGUAUAUUCAGAGAUUCCUGUGUUAAGAUCGGGUAAUGCCAUUAAUGGUCCUAAGUAUGUUUCUUGAUUUGACCCUUAAUACAAUGAUGCCCAUCGGGAGUUUGGUUAAGUUACCUCAGCAGUUUUUUUGUUGUUGUUGCACCGAAUCAUCAAUAGAACAGAUAUCACUAACGAUCAUGAGUUCAGAUAUGUCAUCUUUGACCUAAAUCCUAUGUAGCAUUGCUUCAUUUAUACUUUUCGUCAAACUAUAAUACAUCACUGAGUCAGACAUAAGAGAACUAUGGGUAAGCCCUCUAAAUGAGUCCCUGUGCGCUGAUGAUUACACCUUUUUGCAGGACUUAACCAUAACCGUGGCUUCCGAGCUGCCGUCCUAUGAAGUGGAACUAAUUGAAGACUUGGAUGACCACCAUGUGGUCAACAAACAAUCUUUUGUGGAUGAACAAGAAUGGCAUUUAUAUAUGCACACCGAGUGUUCUCGAAGGGACCUUGUGAUAGACCAAGCGGACAACAGUGUCCGGCGUUCGGCUCUUUCCGUGAAAUGUCGGGCUGCCCGAAGACCGGGUUAUUUUGUAUGGAAUAUAUUCCUAGUUACAGUAAGGAAUUGAUCCUUAUAGGGUAUCCAAAUACAUGUAGGAAUCAUGCAGUUUUUGUCAAAUUGAAAUUCACUAAUAUUCAUUUACUUUGCUAUUUAGCACGUACAAGUAUCUUCAACAAUAAAACAAUGGAUAGAGUUUGAAGUUCUUUUCAAUGAAAUUACAGUAAUACAAGUAGCACUUUUAUUUUAUUAUUUAAUGUAGAGAAGCAGGAGUCUAUGACCUUCCUCUUCUUAGAGUUUCAAAUUGUUGGUAAUUGUGUGCAUUUUCAUCCUUAAUUAAUAUUCUAAAGCAGUAGGUUUUUGAUUGUUUGCAGUUUUUAAUAUGCACCCUAGCUUUCGCCACGUUUUCGGUGGAGAAGAAAUUACCCCAGAACCGCCUGCAGUUAUCCUUCACUUUGGUGCUCACAGCAGUAGCUUUCAAGUCAGUGGUCAAUUCCAGCCUUCCAAGAAUAUCCUACCUAACUUAUAUGGAUAAAUACCUACUAGCCGCCAUGAUCAUGUUGUCGGCAGUCUGUGUGUGGCACGCACUGGUCACUGUUGUCAAGGAAACAAUAGCAGACAAGGCAGAAACGAUCGUCCUCAUCUCCCUCGGAAUCAUCUACGUCAUCUACAAUGUCGGCUUCCUCAUCAUCAUCUACCUUUAUCCGUGGAAGAAAAGAAGAACAAUGGCUCAAAAAGACAGAGAUUACACGGAAGGUCUACGGUUGGUGAAGAGCAAGUUGUAGCGAGAAGAAAAGACUCCGGAUGUGGCCUUUCUGAAGUCCUCCAUUGUAACCCGUCGUCCGCCGUCGAUCUUCUCUCGGUCUCGACGACACUCGACAAACGGACGGAACAGGAGGAAGCCAUGUAAUAUGGCGGACAAAUCCAAGAGACUCCGAAACUAACUGGAACACCUCGAGUGUGGCCGAUGUUUAGACACUGCUCAUUCCAUUCGAUAUUCAGUGUCCUGUUUUCAUUGUUGUUAGACAGACAGUGUUAUAUGCAAACCACGGACAUUGCGCUGUGUUAUAUUAUCAUGUUAUUUUGCAGUUAUAUUGUAAUAUAUAUGUGUUUUGGUUAAAACUUGAGAACUAAUACCUCCCAUGUAACGGCAUUAUGUGUACACAUUCAAGGUUUUCCUAUAAAUACCAAAAUAAACAUACAGGAUACC
rnacentral:misc_RNA from 1 species